GAAUUCGCCCUUAGAGUUUGAUCCUGGCUCAGGACGAACGCUGGCGGCGUGCCUAACACAUGCAAGUCGAACGGAGUUGAAAGGAGCUUGCUUUUUUCAACUCAGUGGCGGACGGGUGAGUAACGCGUGAGUAACCUGCCUUUCAGAGGGGGAUAACGUUCUGAAAAGAACGCUAAUACCGCAUAAGAUUGUAGCUUCGCAUGGAGCAGCAAUCAAAGGAGCAAUCCGCUGAAAGAUGGACUCGCGUCCGAUUAGAUAGUUGGCGGGGUAACGGCCCACCAAGUCGACGAUCGGUAGCCGGACUGAGAGGUUGAUCGGCCACAUUGGGACUGAGACACGGCCCAGACUCCUACGGGAGGCAGCAGUGAGGGAUAUUGGGCAAUGGGGGAAACCCUGACCCAGCAACGCCGCGUGAGGGAUGACGGUUUUCGGAUUGUAAACCUCUGUCCUCUGUGAAGAUAGUGACGGUAGCAGAGGAGGAAGCUCCGGCUAACUACGUGCCAGCAGCCGCGGUAAUACGUAGGGAGCAAGCGUUGUCCGGAUUUACUGGGUGUAAAGGGUGCGUAGGCGGAUUGGCAAGUCAGAAGUGAAAUCCAUGGGCUUAACCCAUGAACUGCUUUUGAAACUGUUAGUCUUGAGUGAAGUAGAGGUAGGCGGAAUUCCCGGUGUAGCGGUGAAAUGCGUAGAGAUCGGGAGGAACACCAGUGGCGAAGGCGGCCUACUGGGCACCAACUGACGCUGAGGCUCGAAAGUGUGGGUAGCAAACAGGAUUAGAUACCCUGGUAGUCCACACCGUAAACGAUGAUUACUAGGUGUUGGGAGGAUUGACCCCUUCAGUGCCGCAGUUAACACAAUAAG
rnacentral:rRNA from 1 species